rnacentral:tRNA from 1 species
GUUUUGGUAGUUUAAUAGAAAACCUCGGUCUUGUAAACCGAAGAUGAAUACACUUCCCAAAUCA